GAUGAACGCUGGCGGCGUGCUCAACACAUGCAAGUCGAGCGAAGCACUUAAGUUCGAUUAUUCGGAUGAAGACUUUUGUGACUGAGCGGCGGACGGGUGAGUAACGCGUGGGUAACCUGCCUCAUACAGGGGGAUAACAGUCAGAAAUGGCUGCUAAUACCGCAUAAGACCACAGUAAUGCAUGGUACAGUGGUAAAAACUCCGGUGGUAUGAGAUGGACCCGCGUCUGUUUAGGUAGUUGGUGAGGUACCGGCCCACCAAGCCGACGAUCAGGAGCCGACCUGAGAGGGUGACCGGCCACAGUGGAACUGAGACACGGCCCAGUCUCCUACGAGAGGCAGCAGAGGGUAAUAUUGCACAAUUGGCGAAAGCCUGAUGCAGCAACGCCGCGUGAAGGAUGAAGUAUUUCGGUAUGUAAACUUCUAUCAGCAGGGAAGAAAGUGACGGUACCUGACUAAGAAGCCCCGGCUAACUACGUGCCAGCCGCCGCCGUAA
rnacentral:rRNA from 1 species